rnacentral:lncRNA from 1 species
AUAGGUGACCCUGCCUUCCCGGAGCUCCAAACGUCGACCAAAAGGGGAGCCAGUUUACUCUGCACCAAGAACAGCCACGCUGGCCAAAGAGUCACGCUGGCGACCCGUGGGGCUCCUCCGCUGGGAAUCUCCUGGUCCAAGAGCAACAAAAAUUCGUCUGAAAGUGUGGCGUCCUCUUGUUCUCUGCACUUUCACUGGGAGCUACAAUCCCGAGCUGCUAGUGCAGAGGUGCUGUGUUGCCAAGGUUUGGGACUUCCAUUUGAUCAUGGGCUGAACUAAUUAAUUGGGGGCCUGCUUAGGUUCCGACCAGAAGGGUUCACCUUAUCCAGGUAAGGAGCCUUCCCCAUAGGUCAGCUCAAUUUUCAGCACUGAGUUUGGGGCCAAAGCCUCUGUUAAAAAUCAGUGUCACUUAACUUCCUAUUUUCUAAUUAUUGUCCUGGUUACUUUCUUCACUCAGAGACUUGAAGAAGGUGAAGGCAGGGCAGGUUUGGGCAUAAUAACCUUCAGUGACACCUGGGUUCACCCUGGUUUCUAAUAGUGUUCCCUGAUCCAUCAGGAUAAACAUGCUCAGUGCUUAUUCGAGUGGGCCCCAAAUCUUGCUGAGGCCUUGGUCCCACUCUACUGAGAAAUUUUUAUCAUCAUGAUCAUCAUCAUCAUCACCACUACCAUCAUCAUCGUCUUCAAAUAGUUUCCAUUUACUUUGUGGACCAGGUACUAUCUUAGGUACUUUAUGCACAAUAGGUCAUGGGGUCCUUGAAUAACUGUGCAAAGCAGGUGUUAGCAUCCCUGGAGAAGGACAGGUGAGGAAAUCGAGGCUAAGAGAGGGGCGGUCAAAGUCACACAGAUGCUGACUGUGUGAAUAGAAGGUAAUGCCCAGUGCUUCCAGCUCUUGGUGCAGGACUGUCAGUGGUGCCACCAGAGCAGAAGUGUCACCAUCCCAUGGCUAAUGUGGUCUUGGGCUUUUAGAGAGAAAUUGAGGCAAAGGGUAGGUCUAGUUCACAGGAUCUAAGUUUGUAGAAGUAGCAGGCCUAUUCAAAACCUUGGUCACCAUGAGAACCACCUGCCCUCCCCUCAGGGUACUAUUUCCUGCCUUGAGGGAGCCUCUAGGGUCUGCUAAAUUAAUUGUGUAUGAAAGCAGGAAGGAGCUGGUGGUGUCUGUGGGACCUGUGUGAUCCAGGGCUUACCACCUAGGCUCCUUAGUGGAAGGAGAGGUGGGAUUUGAACUCAGUUCUCUAUGAGCUGCUAUGAGUUUUGUAAUGGUAGUGGUGGCAGUGUGAGAUGGUGUGUGUUGAUUUCACAUGAAUAAGGGCUCUGGGCAAUGCUGGUAUGCAAUGAGUCAGGCUUUUUGCAGAAGACAGAUCAGGGUAGGUUAAACCAGCUGGAGAUGUUACAUUUGCCAAAAGACAUGACAGAGAAGAGAAAUAAAGGGUGGG